rnacentral:rRNA from 1 species
GAUGAACGCUGGCGGCGUGCCUAAUACAUGCAAGUCGAGCGAACGGACGAGAAGCUUGCUUCUCUGAUGUUAGCGGCGGACGGGUGAGUAACACGUGGAUAACCUACCUAUAAGACUGGGAUAACUUCGGGAAACCGGAGCUAAUACCGGAUGAUAUUUUGAACCGCAUGGUUCAAAAGUGAAAGACGGUCUUGCUGUCACUUAUAGAUGGAUCCGCGCUGCAUUAGCUAGUUGGUAAGGUAACGGCUUACCAAGGCAACGAUGCAUAGCCGACCUGAGAGGGUGAUCGGCCACACUGGAACUGAGACACGGUCCAGACUCCUACGGGAGGCAGCAGUAGGGAAUCUUCCGCAAUGGGCGAAAGCCUGACGGAGCAACGCCGCGUGAGUGAUGAAGGUCUUCGGAUCGUAAAACUCUGUUAUUAGGGAGGAACAUAUGUGUAAGUAACUGUGCACAUCUUGACGGUACCUAAUCAGAAAGCCACGGCUAACUACGUG